CAGAAACCUAAAGACAGCAGCAGCUGGAUGAAGAGAGAUCACCAGGGAGCUGGACGUUUCUGGAAGGUGAGCGUCAGCUGGAGAACGCCGCACAUUGGCCCUAAGUGUCUCGUUAAAGGACUCUUCAGCGAGGUUGAAGUGUCUGCAACAGUUUCUACCCAUCUGUAAAGAAAUGCACUCCCGGUCGUUGGACACUAGAGGCAUCAUCUGUGUGUUUACAGAUCUGCAGACACCAGUCACAUAUGUAAGUGGAAACGAGGCGUUAGGGGAAAUGUAUCAGAGUAAAAGUAUACAUUUUAUUUUUGAGAUGUAGUGGAGUAACAGUGGAAGCUGACAGAAAUCUCAAGUAAAACUCAAGUAAAGUACAGAUAGAAGUGAAGAGCAUAAUAUUUCCCUCUGAAAUGAAGUCGAGUAAAAGUAGAAAGUGGCUUGAAAAGAAAAUACUCAAGUAAAUGUGUUUAGUUACAUUCCACCAUUGCACGCCCGCCUUGUGCCUGUACACUUUUUUUACAUGGAUGUUCCAGUUAGGGAGAAAUAUUUUUAGUGAAAUGAUUAAACUCGUUUGUAGAAGAAAAACAUAUCAGACACAAUAUGUUAUUGAAUACGUCUUAUAAUACGUCUGCAUGGGGUCUUUUUUUGUUUGUCGGCUCUGUUACGCUCCAUUUGGCGUCUUCAGAUCCAAACGAGUCCACGUAUAGUAAACUCUAUCUACAUACACAAUAUUUGAAUGUUUCUUUGUGGUAUUAUUGGGUUUGUUCUUAUCUAAACAUCACCCAUCUGCUUUGUCUGCUGCUGUAAAUGAUGCUCAGUGUCUCAGAGCUGCAGUUUAAUGUGUCUUAAAUCUCAUCUGUUGUCUAUGUGCAGGGAAAACAACACAAUAUGUCACAACUGAUAAAUGAAAGGAUUAUGGUUUAGAUGUAAACAAAGAGAUGCUGGGUGUGAAAGGGACGAGAACAGUGAGUAAAAAUGAGACGGUUAUAAUCAGCUCUGCCUCAUGUGGACAUUCAGGUUUUUUAAAGCCGAGCGAGUUCCCCUCAUAAAGUCAAAUUUAUGUCCACAGCUCGGGUGUUGUCUGGGGCCCCCACAAAAGGCCAGCCUGUGCUUGGCCCGGCCCAUAAAUCCUAACUUUUCAAUUUUUGAAUGGACCUCUGUGCGGGGCCCCGGAGCCCCUGUCUGCAAGGCCCCAAAUUACAGAACCUCCACAAGCGGUCCAGUAGGAAAACAACUGUGAGGUUUAUCACGUAAUUCCAAGAACAGGGGAGCCUUCGCACUGCGGGGCCACGGAGGACACGCAUCUGAGUUUAUUUGGUAUUUUAGUGUAUUUGCUGAAUAUAUGGCUGCAUAUAUAUAUUUAAAAGGUUUGAAAAUCCACAGCAAUUGCAUGUCUCAGAGUGCACGGCUGCUUCAUUCGAUCUGUCCCUGUGGGAUAGCUCGCAUGUGUGUGGGUCUCUGUGGAAUAGCUAAUGCAUUGUAUAUAUACAUGUCUGUGUGUGUGUCUGUGUGCUAGAAUAUUUAUCAAAGGACAACUGCGUGGACUAAAAGCAUCAAAUAAGCAAAGGCCGCAUGCUUUUACACGCAAGCACUGUACUGUUCUUAUAUUGGUCCCAUUGAUUCCCGUCCUCUGCACCACGCUGGAGGCCAGCGCAGACGACAGAGACGGGGCCAAGUGGAAGAUUAUUCAGAAUAACAUAUAGCGCUCUGUGGGUCCAGAUAAAAGUGAGUGACAGCAUCAGAACAAAUGGUGAUGAAAUGCUUGCAUCACGGCGAGCUGAUAGCCGUCUCUAUACUCGGUAUCCUCUCUUCUUACAUGUAUGAUUUAUAUGGACGCAUGGAGGAUUUCUUCAAAGCUCUCACAUGUUUAUGACUCCAUAACAUCUGACGCAUUCCUGUUUACGCUCCCAAGCCACAUUUGACAUUUUCUGGAUAUGAUGAAUCAUUAAUGAUGACCUCAAUAGGCUUUCACAUCUUUGGCCCACAGAUCAAUAAAGUGGUUAGGGGAGUAGGUCAGCAGCUCUCCAGAGGUGUCUGUCAGUGUUCGUGUGUUCGUGUGUGUGUCUUUGAGUGUGCCUCCAAACAGUCACACCCAGCAAGCGACUGUAAAAUGUUGGUGCUAAUUGGCGGCCAAGCGCUGCCCCGUCUCCAGCGCGACGCUCCGGGGCUGGCAGAAUUGCGGCUGGUUUUUCCAAGUUUUUUCCAAGCAGUCCCUGCCUGCGAGGCUGUGGGAGUUCCAUCCAUUAUUGAUCAGAUCCAAGGAUGAAAGCAGGAACGCUCAGUGGGGACUGAGCAUCUUUGGCCCCACACAGGAAAAUAAAAAAAAACACAAAACCAGCCUUGACCACCGACUCUGUGUGAACAGAGACGAGGAAAUAUCUUUUUUAUUUCACAUCAGAGUCAGCCUGAGAACCAAACUGUCUGGAAAGUAAAUAAGCCGAAUUUAUGUAAAAGGAACUCGAGGCGUCAUGUGCUGUGAAUCUUUACUCAUCCCUAACAUUUAGAAGCCGAAUCCUCACUGAGAUUUUUUGUACCCAGAUGAUGACAUUGUGUUACGCACUGCUUUGCCAGCCUUGGCAGCCGCUCGGCUCGGUGCUGUUCAAUGAUUCAGCUGUGUAGAAUUGACCUCCACCUCACCUUGGCAAUCCUCCCCGACCAAAUGGACGUUUGGCAGCCAGAACACACACUGGAUAUACAAGCAUGUGUGUACGCCAGUGAUAACACACACCGACUCGCAGAAACACACAGACACACACACACACUCUGGGAAAGGUUACAAUGAUGCUUGAAACAAAGGGGCAGAU